rnacentral:rRNA from 1 species
UUGACCUCAAAUCGGGGGAGACUACCCGCUGAA